GACGAACGCUGGCGGCGUGCCUAACACAUGCAAGUCGAACGGAACUGUUUUGAAAGAUUUCUUCGGAAUGAAUUUGAUUUAGUUUAGUGGCGGACGGGUGAGUAACGCGUGAGUAACCUGCCUUCAAGAGGGGGAUAACAUUCUGAAAAGAAUGCUAAUACCGCAUGACAUAUCGGAAUCACAUGGUUUUGAUAUCAAAGAUUUUAUCGCUUGAAGAUGGACUCGCGUCCGAUUAGUUAGUUGGUGAGGUAACGGCUCACCAAGACCGCGAUCGGUAGCCGGACUGAGAGGUUGAACGGCCACAUUGGGACUGAGACACGGCCCAGACUCCUACGGGAGGCAGCAGUGGGGGAUAUUGCGCAAUGGGGGCAACCCUGACGCAGCAACGCCGCGUGAAGGAUGAAGGUUUUCGGAUUGUAAACUUCUUUUAUUAAGGACGAAAAAUGACGGUAC
rnacentral:rRNA from 1 species